rnacentral:rRNA from 1 species
CGGACGGGUGAGUAACGCGUGGAAAACCUGCCGUAUACUGGGGGAUAACACUUAGAAAUAGGUGCUAAUACCGCAUAAGCGCACAGCUUCGCAUGAAGCGGUGUGAAAAACUCUGGUGGUAUACGAUGGUUCCGCGUCUGAUUAGCUAGUUGGUGGGGUAAUGGCCUGCCAAGGCAACGAUCAGUAGCCGGCCUGAGAGGGUGAACGGCCACAUUGGGACUGAGACACGGCCCAAACUCCUACGGAAGGCAGCAG